UAUUGGUCAAUGGACGCAAGUCUGAACCAGCCAUGCCGCGUGCAGGAUGACGGCUCUAUGAGUUGUAAACUGCUUUUGUACGAGGGUAAACCCCGAUACGUGUAUUGGGUUGAAAGUAUCGUACGAAUAAGGAUCGGCUAACUCCGUGCCAGCAGCCGCGGUAAUACGGCUGAUCCGAGCGUUAACCGGAUUUAUUGGGUUUAAAGGGUGCGUAGGCGGUUUGAUAAGUUAGAGGUGAAAUGUCGGGGCUCAACCCCGAAACUGCCUCUAAUACUGUUGAACUAGAGAGUAGUUGCGGUAGGCGGAAUGUAUGGUGUAGCGGUGAAAUGCUUAGAGAUCAUACAGAACACCGAUUGCGAAGGCAGCUUACCAAACUAUAUCUGACGUUGAGGCACGAAAGCGUGGGGAGCAAACAGG
rnacentral:rRNA from 1 species